rnacentral:tRNA from 1 species
GCCCCUUUAGCACAGUGGUAGUGCGCAUCACUCGUAUAGCAAUGUGUCAUGAUGAGGUCCCCGGUUCGAACCCGGGAGGGGGCU